rnacentral:ncRNA from 10 species
GGGCGUCAUCAAGAAGUGCCGUGCCUCGUCGGCCCGGCAUGCCAACCUGAUCCGAAGUUCAAGGUGGUUUCUCUGGCCUUCCAGAGAGAUGCGCGUCGGAAGAACCGACGAACAAACCUUCGACUC